rnacentral:misc_RNA from 1 species
CUCUACUAUUAUCUAGUAUUACUAUAUUUUUCCAUUAACAUAAAAAAGCAUAUUCUUUCUCAUUUUUAUUGAAUAAAUAAAAGUAAUAAAUAAGCAAAAUUUUCAUUUUUAUCUAUUUUCAAUUGAAUUGAAAUUGUAAAAAAAAAAACUUCAUAAAAGAUUAGGAAAAGUAAAAGUAUAUGAUAUAGAAACCUAUAAUAUAAAUGAAUACAAAUAAAAACAAACAAAUCGAACCAAAUUAUAAAAAGUACUUGUUAUUUUUAAAGUUUAAAGAAACUAUGUAAGGCAAAUAGUACUAAAUAAAAAAAGGAGCAAUAACGCCCUCUUGUUUUAUCAAGAGGGAAGCUAUUGCUCCUUUUUUAGUUCAAAAACUCCUAUACAAUCAGACCAAAGUC